rnacentral:rRNA from 1 species
GACGAACGCUGGCGGCGUGCUUAACACAUGCAAGUCGAACGCUGAACCCGCUUCGGUGGGGGAUGAGUGGCGAACGGGUGAGUAACACGUGGGCAACCUGCCCCCGGCUCUGGGAUAACUCCAAGAAAUUGGGGCUAAUACCGGAUGUGACCGCUGGCCGCAUGGUCUGGUGGUGGAAAGGGUUUCCGGCUGGGGAUGGGCCUGCGGCCUAUCAGCUUGUUGGUGGGGUAGUGGCCUACCAAGGCGACGACGGGUAGCCGGCCUGAGAGGGUGACCGGCCACACUGGGACUGAGACACGGCCCAGACUCCUACGGGAGGCAGCAGUGGGGAAUAUUGCGCAAUGGGCGGAAGCCUGACGCAGCGACGCCGCGUGGGGGAUGACGGCCUUCGGGUUGUAAACCUCUUUCAGCAGGGACGAAGCGCAAGUGACGGUACCUGCAGAAGAAGCACCGGCCAACUACGUG